AUAAUAUAUGCGGAUGUCCCUCAGUGUGCAAUGUUAAUGUCGUCUGCUCGAUGUUCUUGUACACGUCAAACUCUUAUGUUGAAGAGUGUUGAGUGAAUGUGGAUUUCUUGUACGAGAAUGUCUAAAUCUCAAGUUUUAAAGUAGUUCUCAAGAAACAAUUCCUCUUUACCCAAAACACAUCGGUUCAUUCUCUGUUUCAUUUUCAGAACACAGGAGUGUUGCUGAAGAGGUUGAGGUAUGCAGUGAUGUAUUCAAAGAGAAGAACAAGCAUGAUGAGUAAUUAAGGACAGGAUUGUCUUAGGAGCAGUCCCAGGCAAAGGAAGCAGCUAUCCCGUUCCUGUUCAGAGGUGACACUGCGGAUUCUGUGCUCCCGCCGGUGCUUGAUGUAUCCGUCAUCGACAUGGUUCUGAUCCGGUCCACCCCUCAAAGGCUAUUGCCCACGAGUCUGUGGAAUUGGCAUCGCCCGACACUCCACAGCACUUCAACUGUAGAGGGAGAUAUUCAGAUGUUAUAAGAGACCAAGAGUGGAAAUGGGGAAAUGUUAUAAUUGUCUGGAACUCGACAAUAUCAAAAACAUAUUGCCGUAUUUCGGAAUGGAUUAGACUACAUCAUUACAUGUACUUAGAAUUUAUGAGUUGAAGACAUUAAUAAAUGAUUAUAACAAUUGAAAAAGGAAGGAAACCGGUUUUUCUUUUGUUUGCAUCAAUAAUCCAUUUGUUGACUCAAAAUUGAUAAACACUACCUAUCCAGAGAAAGUUUUUUUUUGUGAAACGCAGAGAUUUGAGUUUUUUCAAUAUUUCAAUACUCAAAUAUUUAGACUUAGACUUAAGGUUUUUUUUGGUGAUAUUCAGAGAGUUUGGGUACUCUAUAUGCAAUAUUUUGCAAAAGAAAAAAGAAAACUAAGUUCAACAGCUUGUAUUUUGCAAAAAUUAUCAAAAAUCAAAAUCCAAGUAUUGUGCUACUCUCUAAUAUAUGUACAAGUGAUCUGCAAAACAAAAACAAAAAAAAAGUUUCCUAUCCUGAAAUCUGUAAGAAGACUAAUCCGUUCAAAAAGGGUUACUUUUUUGGCAGCCGCCCGCCCGCAAUAUUUUACCAUUUCAAUAACCGGAUUUAAAAAGCAUCGAAAUUUGCCUGUUGGUUCUACAGUGUACAUGUAUUUUCUUGGAGUAGUGAAGCUAUGCUCCGCUUAUCCGUUCUCAUAGAGAAAAAGCCUGCUUGGGGACUCGGACAGCUUAAUGUCAGGCAAAAAUUGUAGUGACCGAUUAACUUGAUCCUGUUCGAAGGAUGCACUGUAAACCAACUUUUAUUCCAGAAGACUGUUUUCGCGAUAUACCGCAGAUAACCGUAUUCGCAGCGACUAAUAAUCGCGACGACGAGGCUCUCGUGAACCCGACGAAAAUUUAUCGCACGCGAAUAAAAGUUAGUCUACAAUAAAUAUGUCCACUAUAUAUUAUUAUACAGUUAUUGACUGGGUAUGAGGGCGACGUUUGAUUUGUUGGAUGAUGCCCAAAGCCGAGAGCAAACAGUCAAACAAACCUUACGUCGCCAAAAUCCCAGUCAACAGCUGUUUUGUUAAACUCUUUAUUCGUGAUUCAAGUAUAAUUUUUAGUAGCAGUCAUUCAAGUUAUAUAUGGGGUUCAAACGAAAUACUAAUAUAUGCUCUGAAAUGCUGAUGCUUAAUUCUUGCCCCUGUUGUGUGAAAUUGACGUAUAUAAUACCGUCACAGCCCAAUCAUGGCCCUAAAUUUGUUUCAGAAUAGAAACCAAUCAUUGAAAGUGUGUAAAUAUUCCGAUAAAACCUUCACUACCGGUGUGUAGCUAUAACUAUAUACUGCACGGGUUCUGUAGUAUUCUAUACACCUAGCUUGGCCCACAGGAGGUGGCAACUCCAAUUAGAUAUUUUUCUUUAGCUGACACAAAACAAUAAAAAAGAUUCAUUUUACAGUUUUUAUUGCUGGAGAGGAAUUAUAUUGGUAAAAUGUUAUGAAAUACGAAGUAGGGUGUGUUUAAAA